UUUGAUCCUGGCUCAGAAUCAACGCUGGCGGCGUGCCUAACACAUGCAAGUCGAGCGAGAAAAGGGGGGCAACUCCCUGAGUACAGCGGCGCACGGGUGAGUAACACGUGGGUAAUCUGCCCUGGAGUGGGGAAUAACACCGGGAAACCGGUGCUAAUACCGCAUACGAUCGCGAUGUCUGCGGACGUUGUGAUGAAAGGAGCAAUUCGCUCCAGGAGGAGCCCGCGGCUGAUUAGCUAGUUGGUGGGGUAAUGGCCCACCAGGGCUACGAUCAGUAUCCGGUCUGAGAGGACGGUCGGACACACUGGAACUGAGACACGGUCCAGACUCCUACGGGAGGCAGCAGUGGGGAAUAUUGGACAAUGGGCGCAAGCCUGAUCCAGAAUGCCGCGUGAGUGAAGAAGGCCUUAUUUGUAAAGCUCUUUCUGCGGGGACGAUGAUGACGGUACCCGCAGAAGAAGCCCGGGCU
rnacentral:rRNA from 1 species